rnacentral:lncRNA from 1 species
CUGUGGUGGACACAUUGUUUAGUCUUCUUUGGACCUGAAUUACCACACUCCAGAGACACCUGUUGUAACUGGAAACAGCCACUGUUAUGUGCUAACCUGAAGUAUCUGAGAAGUUUCACACCCAAAAGGAGAAACACCCUCUGCCAUCACAGCCCUCAACCAGACUGCUGUUCUAAGGUCAGUCAUAUGUACUAGGAGAUGGUGUGUAUGGAAUAAUUUGCUUGUGGUCUGUUUUCCACCUUCUAGGCAACUGUAGUUACACGACAAAAUGUAGGACGUGUUUUUAAAAAUAGAGGUUAUAAUGUUAUUUGAAGAUCAGU